AUGUCAGAGCUGCCGAUGAACCCAAAGGUGAUGAGGAAGCUGCAAGGCAAUAUCACGGCGGCGUUCCGCGGCAAGGAAUUCAUCACUGAGAUUGAUCUUCGGAUGAGCGGAAGCUGCAUCAAGUACCUCGACUUGGUCAUCAAGGAGAUCUUCAAGCUGUACGCAGCAGCUACCAUCUUGGUCCCUUCAGAGUUCAGAGAGCACCAAGGCCUGCGAGAUCAACGGUACUGGGACGACGCUGAGGAGUUCAGGCCGAAGAGGUUCAAGGAGCUCGCAUGGACUUUCAUGGCGUCUACUUUGGGUACACGCCCUUCGGGGCCUCCAGGAUCAGCAGAUGGAGCACUUUUUCCGACGACCAACGCCCCGGCGACCAACGCCCCGGCGCCCCAACGUCUCAUUUAUAUUCAGCACACAGGCUACAUCACGGCUCAUUCCAGCGCACUACAUCAAUAA
rnacentral:rRNA from 1 species